GCAUUGUAUGAAAGGAGAAUGUCAGCACCUCCCUUGACAAGGAUGGAAGAGGCCCUUGGUCCUAACAUCACACAUACAGUAAGGCUCUGCCACACACUUUGUGGUAUCUAGAAUUCAUUU